GUUGGCUUAGAAGCAGUCAUCAUAAAGAAAGCGUAAUAGCUCACUAGUCGAGUCGGUCCGCGCGGAAGAUGUAACGGGGCUAAGCGAUGUACCGAAGCUGCGGGUGCAUAGCAAUAUGCGCGGUAGAGGAGCGUUCCGUAAGCCUGCGAAGGUGACUCGUAAGGGUUGCUGGAGGUAUCGGAAGUGCGAAUGCUGACAUGAGUAACGACAAUGCGGGUGAAAAACCCGCACGCCGGAAGACCAAGGGUUCCUGCGCAACGCUAAUCGGCGCAGGGUGAGUCGGCCCCUAAGGCGAGACCGAAAGGUGUAGUCGAUGGGAAACGGGUUAAUAUUCCCGUACCUUGGAUAGCUGCGAUGGAGAGACGGAGAAGGCUAGGUGAGCCGGGCGACGGUUGUCCCGGUUUAAGCGAGUAGGGAGUGGACUUAGGCAAAUCCGGGUCCACAAUCUCGAGACGCGACGACGACUGCUCUUAGAGCGGGAAGUCAUUGAUGCCAUGCUUCCAGGAAAAUCUUCUAAGCUUCAGGCUAUUCGAGACCGUACCCCAAACCGACACAGGUGGUCAGGUAGAGAAUACCAAGGCGCUUGAGAGAACUCGGGUAAAGGAACUAGGCAAAAUGGUGCCGUAACUUCGGGAGAAGGCACGCUGGUGGUAAGUGAAAUCCCUGCGGGUGGAGCUGAAGCCAGUCGAAGAUACCAGGCCCCUGCGACUGUUUAUUAAAAACACAGCACUGUGCAAACA
rnacentral:rRNA from 11 species